GUCAGUUUGCUGAGCUGCUGCAUUGCCAGAGUCUAUCCUCGAGCUGGGGAGGGUCAAGGUGGCCUUGAACUCCUAUCCUCAAGUGAUCCUCCCACCUCAGCCUCCUGAAGAAUUGGGACUAUAGACGCUCUUACUGUGCCUGGCAUGAUCAAUUUUUAAAAUUCAUCAGUCAUUUAUUUUAUGACCUUUGGAUUUUAUGUGUGUUUUGAAUGGCUUUCCUUUAUAAAAAUCAUCUGUCAAGAA